rnacentral:lncRNA from 1 species
CAUAAUUUAUUUAAAUACAUUCAUUUAUUUAGGAGAAAAAAAAUCACAUUUCAGUUCUAUAGACAUAAAUGCUCUUUCAUUUUCAUUAAGCCCUGUGAAUCUACAUGAAAUGUAAACAGGAAGAAGACAAGAUCUCAUGAGAAAUCAGGAGCUGAAAAGGAGCUGCAAUUCAGAUGUGGAUAUUUUCAGCAACGGCAAGGUGAAAUGUUGUGGUCUGAGUAAUGCAGACAGCUGAACAGAGGUGAUCAGAGCUGCUUGAUCCCCUAUAGACCAGUUUUCUGUAACGUUCUGAGCUUAAAUUGGAGGGAAACUUAUAGGACUGGAUGGCCUUUCUGCAUCUGGUUUCUGUUACGGAGAAGCUGACAUACACCAUUUGCUCAGACCAUCUGCAGAGAAAAAAGAGUCUAUGGAACAUAACAAAGCAAAAUUUCUGGCUGGAGUUGUUACCAAUUCAUCAUGAGAAAGAAGAAAAGGUAUUCACUCUUCCCCUGAUGCAUACAUCAUCUGUAGUUUUAUGCCCUUCUCUUGAGAAAUUUUCCAUGAUAAUGGCAUUUCUAUUUCGUUUUCCAGUCAAAUAUUGUUCCUGCCAAUUCACUGUAUUAUUUUCCUAGUUAGCUGUUUCAGGAAAGUA